rnacentral:rRNA from 1 species
GAUGAACGCUGGCGGCGUGCCUAAUACAUGCAAGUCGAGCGAACAGACGAGGAGCUUGCUCCUUUGACGUUAGCGGCGGACGGGUGAGUAACACGUAGGUAACCUACCUAUAAGACUGGGAUAACUUCGGGAAACCGGAGCUAAUACCGGAUAAUAUUUCGAACCGCAUGGUUCGAUAGUGAAAGAUGGCUUUGCUAUCACUUAUAGAUGGACCUGCGCCGUAUUAGCUAGUUGGUAAGGUAACGGCUUACCAAGGCAACGAUACGUAGCCGACCUGAGAGGGUGAUCGGCCACACUGGAACUGAGACACGGUCCAGACUCCUACGGGAGGCAGCAGUAGGGAAUCUUCCGCAAAGGGCGAAAGCCUGACGGAGCAACGCCGCGUGAGUGAUGAAGGUCUUCUGAUCGUAAAACUCUGUUAUUAGGGAAGAACAAACGUGUAAGUAACUGUGCACGUCUUGACGGUACCUAAUCAGAAAGCCACGGCUAACUACGUG